GAAAAUACCGAUUUGGAGAAUCAGGAACGAGGGAGCUUAUGUGUGCAGGAUAAGCGCGAGAAAAGUUUUCUUUCUAUGCACUAGAAACAUCAUAGAAGCAACGCCUUUUCAUCAUACGUUAAUGCGGAAGAGUGAACAGUAAACGGUUAAUAUUACUGGGAUUGCCCCUCAUUGCCCGGUUUAUACUUGGUGUUUAGUUCAGAGUUUUUACACCUGUGCGAGUACACAACAGAGUCAGAAAGGAGAUUGCGAGGGAAAUCCGUGCCUUCACCCAGCUCAGGCUACCCUGCAUAGACUCGACGCUGCCUAGCCUGCGAAGUAUUUUCGGCAGUUUCAGCUUUUAGUUCAGGAACAAAGAAGGACUAUCCAGCUUUUCCAGCUCGCUCCGCCAGUCAGUCCGAACCUGCCUGGAUGUCUCGAAAUUUCGUCUUGCUGAAGGGUCUCGGCCCGAAUCCUCGACUGUUCUCUUUUCCAUUGAUGCUGCCUGGCCUGCUGAGUUCGUCAAGAACUUUUUUGAACUUUAGGGAGAGGAAUCCAUUGGGCGAGACGUGGAUGUUGUUUCACACCGUUGUGUAGGAGACGAAAAAUUUGAGGCCCGCAGCUUUAUUAUCUGGGACAGGUUUGUGGAAGAAGACGGCACCAAACGGAAAGCUUAUGUAUUGACAUACAAGAAAAGAAUCCGUGGAAUUCAUUGCUGACGAAGCCAAGACAUUUGGUAUAUUAAAAGCGGAUGGCUCUAGAGAGAGCCGGUGCGGUGAGGCGCUGACAGACACUCACUGUUCCGUGGGCAGGAAGAGCAGAGGCCGAUUCCCACAGUGGAGACCGAGUCCACUUCACCGCAGACCCGCCAUCGCUGUUCGUUUCCCGGGCAACGUCGUCGCUGCAGGAAUGCACUCCAUGACGUCAGUGCGCAACAGGUCGGCUUCUCGUAUGUCACGUGAUCGUGAGUCAAUCAGUGGAGCCGCAGGGAAACUUUCGAACAUUGUGAAUAGAAUGAGUAUAGAGGGGAAUAUCCAGGAACGGUGACACCCCCACCCCCAAUCCCACGGUAAUUGACUGUGUUUCAAACUGCAAUAAUCACAUUUUAAUUUGACACCUACACGGGAAAAUCUGCAGAAUUUGACGCUCUACGGUCUUGUAAAUACUUGAUGUUUGCAUUUCGUAUAUUUUUUUGCAAACAAUCGUUUGCUGUUUUGGGGAAUACCCAACAAACACUGUCACAGUCAAAGUAAGUGAUUAUCAACAUAUGCAUAUGUCACUUUACACUACCUUAAUAUUCAUUUCCUCUCAGGGAUAUACAGGAAAAUAUAUACAAUGGAAUUUAUGAAAACUAUAAACAGUAAAGACUGACAGUCAACAAAUGAGCCAAAUAAAACAGAUUGUGCAAAUAAUAAAAAAUAAUA